CACACACAUUAAAAGUGCGUUUCUAAGUUCAAUUUGUUGGCCCGUGCUACCACGGGCCAACGCCUAUCUAGUAAUUUUCAUACGAGGUAGUGUUAUCAUUUCCAUUUCUUUUUCCUUUUUUUUUUUUCUUUUGCCAAAGGCUUGCAUUUCUGCUUUUCUCUUCUCCCUAUCGCAGUUCGGAUCAAGAAUGUCGAAGCAAAUUUUCAGUCUUUAAACCCUAAUACCGCAAGUUUCUGAAUUUAUGGAUUAUUAUGUGAAUCACUGAAUCUCCAUGAAUGUGGAAGUCAUGGUAUUCCUAGUUUGGGGGUGCGGUGUUGAGGUAAUAUGUGACUAAACUGCAGAACUAGGUGGAAAGAUCCAAUUCAAACGUGUUUCAGGCUAGCUAAAUGUGCAGUUCAUGUUUUCACACAGAGAGAGAGAGAGAGAGAGUAGUCAAUUGUUUCAGGCCAGCAAUGCGAUGUUUGAAUGCGGAUGAUUGAUCAGACACUGAGCUGAAACCAUGACCAUUACGAUUAUCUGAUCUUUAUUCACGUCAUUUUCCAAUCCUCUACUCUGAUUCCAAAUCCAAGUAUCCGCUUAUUUUGCACUAACAGGAGUUGCAAAAUGAAUAUCCCGAGUUAUCCUCCACAGUUCCAAGAAAAUUCCCCGCAAAGAAAUCUCGUUGCGGUGUCAAGUCUUCUUAAAAGAUAUGGUUUUCCAGCUCUAGAACUUCCGAAUUUUCUUGAGAAGAAUCGCUGUUUACAAAACUAGACCCCACCAAAAUUGAAAAGUCUCUUAAGAUUCUAUUAUCCUUGAAGCCAUCUCAAGAAUUCCUUGUGUCCGUGAUAAAUAGUUGGCCCAGGGUUCUAGAAUAUGAUGCUAUAAUGAAAUGCGAAGGAGGCAUCCGAGGAUUAGAAGAGGGGUCCAAUUAAUCCUCCUUGGCUGUGGAGAAUAUUUUGGAGGUCUUAUGAUUGUGUUUUGGGGUCUCUGAAAUGCCUCAAAGAUUUAGGGGUUAGUGAUAUUUCUGAAAAGAAGGUUUUGGAGACACAUCCCACGGUUACUAUGAUGUCUGCAGACAAGGAUCAUGACUGUUGAAUUUGUUGUUGAUGCCUUUAGGAUUGACAAUUUUGGAUUUGAUCGCAUUCUCUACAUCUAUCCAGGUGUUUUGGCCUUUGGGAUUCAAAAUAAAUUUAAGCGACUGCUUGAUGAAUUUAAAGUUCAAGGCUUUAACAUGGAGGUGGUCAAGAAACAUGUCCUGAGAGAUCCCAGAAUUCUUGCAUUGGAAGUUGGGGAGUUAUCGCGGUGUUUGGAGCUGCUUAAGAGUUUGGAAUGUAGGGAGUCUAUUAAGGAGGAUAUUUUUCAUGAGAGGGCUUUUAAGACUGGGUCCGAGGUGAAACUAAGGGUUGAUUGGCGAUCAUGGUUUAACCUUAAGGGGUGCUUAUUCUGUGUUAUGGAGAGAGCCGAGAGUGAUACUCUAUCACGUAGAGGAUGUUGAGAAGAAGAUUCAGUUUUUAAUGCACGUGAUCAGUGUUGUUAAAGGCGCGCUUAAGCCCUAAAGUGGGGGUCAACACAUGUUGAGUGCUUCCCCUCGCUUUGUGGGCGCUUUAGUGUCGUAUCAAGGCUCUAAGACAUACUUUUCCUUACCGAUGAUUGUAAUCCUGAAAAGACGACAUUAAACUAUUGAUAUUUCACUUUAUCGUAAUUUUUUUUUUUAAUUUCUUUGUCCAUAUAUUUGUUAUUCAUGCUUAUAAUUAUUAGACUUGGACUAUAAAUACAUAUUUUUACUUUUUCUCCGGCUGUGCCUUUUUUCAUUAAAGCCCACGCUUUAUUUGCACUUUGCGCUUAAAGUUCCAACCAACCUUAUAAUUUUUUUGCGCUUUUCGCCUUUGAUAACACUGCACGUGAUGAAAGUUGAUAUUCAGUGUCUUUUUGAAGUUUUAGAGUACCUGGGGGUGAAUUUUCUAGAAACAUAUUCUACCAAGAUUCAAGGUAAUUGACUAUUUAAGAGCAAUAGGAGGACUUGAUGAUGAUGUGGGGUUGAGGGAGUUGAUUAAACCUAGUAGAAUGAAAUUUUAUAAUCUAUAUUGCAAGCCUUAUCCAGAGUGUGAAGCAAUAUAUGGAAGAUUUGCAAGAAAUGCUGAAGUGAGAAGUCGACAUCCAGUGGGAAUGUGGAAGCUUUUCAAACCACAAAGUAAUCCAAAGUCCAAAGAAGAUAUUAUGAAUAUUAAGUCAUAUAUGGAUUCACUGGCUUGAGUUCUGGACCUUCCUCUAAAUUCUACCCGAAAACACAUCUAUGUAGCAUUCUCUUGGAAGAUCCUUUUCUGAGGUGGGCGCCUGAUUGCUGAACUUGAACUGUAUUCCCGU